rnacentral:rRNA from 1 species
UACCAGCACCCCGAGUGGUCGGGACGAUUAUUGGUCCUAAAGCUUCCGUAGCCGGUCCUGCAAGUCUUCCGUUAAAUCCAGCUGCUCAACAGAUGGGCUGCGGGGGAUACUACAGGGCUAGGAGGCGGGAGAGGCAAGCGGUACUUUAUGGGUAGGGGUAAAAUCCGUUGAUCCAUAGAAGACCACCAGUGGCGAAGGCGGCUUGCCAGAAUGCGCUCGACGGUGAGGGAUGAAAGCUGGGGGAGCAAACCGG